GCUUAAUGCACAUACUUUAACAUUUAUAUUAUAUGAUUUCAGGUUGACAUGUUUUCCCAACGUUGUAACUUAAAAAAUAUUAACCAUUCCACAGUUCAACAUGGCAAAACAGAGAUAUUAACAAACAACUCCACUACAUGAUUGCACACUAAGCUCCUUCGCAAAUUUGAAAUUUUCAACUGCUCAAGUCAGAGUGUGUAAAUCUGGAUACUGAUCAUCACACUCCAAAGCUAGACACAGCAUGUAUGGUUAUCAAACCUUCCUUCAGCUUGAUCCGGGAUCAAGCACAGGGAGCCUGCAAUGUAGACUUAUUGAUUUAUCUGUUUGACGCGUUCCAGGGAUGAAAAAUUGGAAUAUUACUGUCAAGCAAGCCCCUGGAGGAACAAUCCCAUAGAAAGCACAGUCCGGUUUGGCUAGAUGACAUUGAAGACUUUUGGAAAAAUGCUUUACACUUACUUGGACAGACUGAGCAUCUCCCCUUGAUAUUGCCCUCUGCGACCGAGUCUGAGCACUUAAAUUUUGAUCCUCAGGUGGAGCUUGAGCUUUGUCUCCAAUAACCAACAAUUUCCUGAAUUCAGCACCAAGUGUGAUCAAUGUAGUUGAUAUUUGCACAUGAAGAUCUCCAUACUUGCUUAUAGAGACAUUUAGUAAAUCACCAACAUGCUUCAUCCUGUCCACAUAGCUUUGCAACUGAUUCAAGUCUGGAACUUGAACCAAAGUCUGAGGCAGAUCUUGGGCCAUAUCAAGAGCAGUUUGAAGUUCCAGCACUUGAGCUCUGGACAAUGGUUUUGAUAUUGGUACAUCCUGAAUAACUGCUGAUUUAUAACCCUUGGUUUCAAAUGUAAGAAAAGGCAUUGGCUGUGUACAGUUUGGUGGCAGUUUCUUCACCAAUUUAAUCUGGAGACGAUUUUCAGUGGCUCCACCACCCCCAAAUUCACUGCAAAUACUGACACUGCUUCGUAGAGCACGGUAGAGAAGGGAAAUGUCUAUGGCAAAAGCAAUGCGGUCCUCAUUCUGGCUGGAAAUGCGAUAAUCAUCAAAGAGGGCCUCUUUUCGAAAUUGAGCAAUGGAUUGAACUCCAUCCCCAUUGAGAAGGUUGUGAAGGAAGAUAGUAUGGUCCCUGGUAAGGAAAAGGUGGCAUACCUUCCCCAUUUUUUCCAAGGCAGGUAGGAACCUCCUUUCUAAUAGGCUAACACCAUUCUCUGUGAGGAAUGCCUUGAACUUCAUCCCUCCCUCUGUCUCUUUCUGAUUCUGUUACUAAUUCUUUGAAAAAUAAUAAUAGGUACUGCCCCUGCACAGAAAGAGAAACCACCACCAUGAGGAAAGAAGACAUAUUUCAAAGGCAUGAAGUCAUACUUGAUCUUUAUUGACUUUAUUCUAUUUAACUUCAUCUGUCAUGAGCUUUUCCUCCCUAGAUCUAUCAUCUUUGAGG
rnacentral:misc_RNA from 1 species